GUGUCAGCAGCCGCGGUAAGACGAACCGUGCGAACGUUGUUCGGAAUCACUGGGCUUAAAGGGCGCGUAGGCGGCACGUCGAGUCCGGGGUGAAAGCUUCCGGCUUAACCGGAAAAGGGCCUUGGAUACCGACGCGCUGGAGGGGGGUAGGGGCGGCCGGAACUUCCGGUGGAGCGGUGAAAUGCGUUGAUAUCGGAAGGAACGCCGGUGGCGAAAGCGGGCCGCUGGACCCUUUCUGACGCUGAGUGCGCGAAAGCCAGGGGAGCGAACGGGAUUAGAUACCCCUGUAGUCC
rnacentral:rRNA from 1 species